rnacentral:sRNA from 12 species
CACCCCACGGUGAAGAUAGGCAUUUUGGGAGCGGGCUAGUACACCCCGCAAGGGGCGCUGGAACGUCCGUACAGCUAAAAGGAG